rnacentral:tRNA from 1 species
GAAAUAAAUUUAUUAAGAAAGAGCUUCUAACUCAAUUCUUUAACGAUGAAAGUUCGUUAUUAUUUCU